GUGCCAGCCGCCGCGGUAAUACAGAGGGUGCAAGCGUUGUUCGGAAUUAUUGGGCGUAAAGCGCGUGUAGGCGGCUUUGCAAGUCGGGUGUGAAAGCCCUCAGCUCAACUGAGGAAGUGCGCCCGAAACUGCAGAGCUUGAGUGCCGGAGAGGGUGGCGGAAUUCCCCAAGUAGAGGUGAAAUUCGUAGAUAUGGGGAGGAACACCGGUGGCGAAGGCGGCCACCUGGACGGUAACUGACGCUGAGACGCGAAAGCGUGGGGAGCAAACAGGAUUAGAAACCCCCGUAGUCC
rnacentral:rRNA from 1 species